AUUGAACGCUGGCGGCAGGCCUAACACGUGCAAGUCGAGCGGCAGCGGGAAAGUAGCUUGCUACUUUUGCCGGCGAGCGGCGGACGGGUGAGUAAUGCCUGGGAAAUUGCCCAGUCGAGGGGGAUAACAGUUGGAAACGACUGCUAAUACCGCAUACGCCCUACGGGGGAAAGCAGGGGACCUUCGGGCCUUGCGCGAUUGGAUAUGCCCAGGUGGGAUUAGCUAGUUGGUGAGGUAAUGGCUCACCAAGGCGACGAUCCCUAGCUGGUCUGAGAGGAUGAUCAGCCACACUGGAACUGAGACACGGUCCAGACUCCUACGGGAGGCAGCAGUGGGGAAUAUUGCACAAUGGGGGAAACCCUGAUGCAGCCAUGCCGCGUGUGUGAAGAAGGCCUUCGGGUUGUAAAGCACUUUCAGCGAGGAGGAAAGGUUGAUGCCUAAUACAUAUCAACUGUGACGUUACUCGCAGAAGAAGCACCGGCUAACUCCGUGCCAGCCGCCGCAGUAACAC
rnacentral:rRNA from 1 species